GAUAGCUUUUUUUUGUUUGUGACUAGUAGUUGUCGACCUGAUUCGUUUCAUUAAAAGGUAUGGCUCAAGGAAGAGUUCGUGGCAAGUCCUCAGGUAGAAGUAAUCCAGCUAUUCGUGAAAAAUAUGAAGAAAUAUUGUGGGAAAAAAUAGUGUCUCAAGCUGAUAUUGAUCAAUGUGAAGCAUUUUAUCAAGCUGUGGGGGUAGAAAAGAAGAG